rnacentral:rRNA from 1 species
GACGAACGCUGGCGGCGUGGAUUAGGCAUGCAAGUCGCGCGACGGUCUUCCUUCGGGGAGAUACGGAGCGGCGAACGGGUGAGUAACACGUGAGGAACCUGUCCCUACUUUCCGGAUAAUUGGCCGAAAGGCCUUGUAAUACGGGGGAGGGUCCUGGUGAGGCAUCUCAUUAGGAAGGAAGGCGCAAGCCGAGCAGGGAGGGCCUCGCGGCCUAUCAGCUUGUUGGUGGGGUAAAGGCCUACCAAGGCGACGACGGGUAGCUGGUCUGAGAGGAUGGUCAGCCACAUUGGAACUGAGACACUGUCCAGACUCCUACGGGAGGCUGCAGUCGAGAAUCUUGGUCAAUGCACGAAAGUGUGAACCAGCGACGCCGCGUGAAGGAUGAAGGACCUCUGGUU